rnacentral:lncRNA from 1 species
GAGAAGAAACCGUACGCCGGGGACAUGGGGCAUCACCCGCGCGCGACGCCGGACGUCGUCGUGCUACCCAGCAGCACCGCGGAGACGGCGAAGAUCGUGCGGCUGUGUUACGAGCGGCGCGUGCCCGUCGUCACGCGAGGCGCCGGGACGGGAUUGGAGGGCGGGUGCGUGCCGUACGACGGCGGGCUCGUGUUGGACACGAGCCUUCUGAAGGCGCGUUCCGUUACAGUAUCGCACUGGUUCCCAUACGACCGCGUCGGCGUGGUGAACGCCGAUCCUUAAGGACUUUUGCCGUCGUCUCUCUGCGCCCACCCCCCGCUUUCAAUCCCCGCCCUCGAUGCCUUUCAACUCCGACUGACGCCUUUCAACUCCAUCUGACGCCCUCCCCGCGAGCCUUCUGAAGACGACGCGAAUGGUUCCCGGGGAGCAGCUCGCGGUCGUCGGCGCGGGCGUCCUGAAGAACGAGCUCGACGCGUUCUUGAAGCCGCACGGGCUGCUUUUCGGGCCGGACCCGAGCUCGAACCCGAGCAUCGGCGGGAUGGCGUCCACCGGAGGGAGCGGGAUGAGCACGCUCAAGUACGGCACGUCCAAGGAAAACGUCCGGUCGAUGACGGUGGUCACCCCGAGCGGCCGAGUGAUUCAAACGCGACGCGCGGUUCGCAAGAGCAGCACCGGGUACGAGCUCAACGCGCUGUAUUUAGGCGCGGAAGGGACGCUGGGUGUGAUCACCGAGCUCACGGUGCGACUGUUUCCGCGCCCGACGGUGCGGUGCGGCGCGGUGGCGACGUUUCCAGACGUGGCGAGCGCGGCGAAAACCGUCGUGGACGCCGUCGGCGCCAACUUGCAGACGUUGCUUCGGUGCGAGCUCAUGAACGACGAGGGGAUCGAGUGCACGAACGUGGUGUUCAAGACGACGCUCGCGAGAGCGCCGACGCUCUUUUUGGAGUUUGUCGGGAACGACAGGGAGGCGGCGGAGAAGGACUGGCGCGCGAUGGCUGAGAUGGCGAAAAAAAAUCACGCGACGAAACUCGACUUCGCCGCCGACGGCGAGGCGCUGGACGAGCUCUGGGACGCGCGGCGCGGGUGCUACCUCGGCGCGAUGCGAUACCGGGGCAUAAAGGAAGGAAAUCCCAAGAAGAAAGAGCACGUCUACGUCGGCGACGUGUGCGUCCCCACGUCCAAACUCGCCGCGUGCGUGUCCGAGACGGAGGCGGAUUUCAAAGCCGCCGGCUUUCCGUGCGUCAUGUGCGCGCACAUCAGCGACGGGAACUUCCACUGCUUGAUCCCGUACGCGCCGGAGGAGGAGGCGAAGCUGAUGAAAUUGAACGAUAAGGUGAUCGCGCGCGCGAUCGCGUACGGCGGCGCCGCGAGCGGCGAGCACGGCGUCGGGAUCGGGAAGAUGAAGCACGUGCUGUGGGAGCACGGGCCGUUUCACGUGGACGCGCAGCGGCGGAUCAAGCGCGCGUUGGACCCGAGGAUGAUCAUGAACCCGGGGAAGAUAUUCGCGGCGGAGCCCACGGAGGAGGAGAGGGCGGCCCGGCGACGGCACAUGGUGGGGGGUGGGACCGGGAGUAAGUUAUGAUUAUUAUUAUUAUUAUGAAUGACGACGCGAGACCAAACCCCGAACGAA